UCAUAACAAAUGUUUAAUAGAUUUUUAAAUUAUUCCGUUUUGAUGUAUUCAAAGUAUCUUAGUGUUUGAGAUUUAAAAACUGUAAAAAAUACUUGAUACCCUGAAGGUAGAAAAAGCUCCAUCACAGUCUUUGCCUUUUGUCAAAGCCUGAAAGGUAGAUUUUAAGGGUGGGGUCACGACUUAGGUUGGGGCUGCUCUCCCAGAUCUCACUGGUGGACAUGGCUGUGGGACAGCCAUAGAGAUCGGCCCUCAGUGUAAGACUGGGAUAAGUGAAAAGAACACAAAUAAGAUAUGGCCCAAUAUUGAUUUAAACAUAGGAAAGUGUGAGCAGGAGAUUCACCCCCACAAGCCUAGCUCACCAUUCAAUAUGAUCAUGACAGUUCUGUCAAACCCUCAUCUUCUCUUCUGUGCCUUUUUGCCCAAAACUUCAAUUCCCCAAUCUUUCAAAAAUAGGAGCUGUGGGCGGCAUGGCACAACGGUAGAGUUGCUGCCUUUGUAGAAUCCUAAUAUCCUAAUCAUAAUACACCCUCUCAUUUGUACUUGUAUCAUUGACAAACCUGGAUACCUUACUCCCUCUGCUUCUUUAUCAUGUUCAUUAAUAAACUGUAAAUAAUUGAGGGCCAACAACUGAUCCUUGGGGCACUUACUGACAUUCAGCCUGAAAAAGACUAAUUUAUUCAAAAAAAUUUUCUUGAGUAAAUACAUUUACGUAACCAAAUCUAAGAUGUUAAAAUCAAUUUACAUAACAAUCUAAUAUGUUUAAAGUGGCUGUAAAAUAUCAAGACAUUUCUGUAUUUGGAACUAAACUGCAUACAUGGAGGAUUCUGAAACGACUCGGUUUCUCGUUCCAAAGAAUUUAAAUAUUGCCCAACCUGCAGAGCGUUUCCAACAUUUACUGUUGUUAUAAGUAAAAUAUUAAGAUGGUUUGACAGGGUUGUUGGCAAGAACUGCUUUUCAUCUGGCCAGAGAGUCACAACCAAAUCGCAUCAGAGCUUAGAUUGAUUCUCUUUUGUAAACCUGUGUAGGAUAUGGAUGUUACAGUGAGGCCAACAUUUAGCGACCACGGACUACAUUUGAAGAGGUGAUGGCAGGAUCAUAUUACAACUCGACCACUCAUCCACACACUGAGGGUAAUUAACAACUCAUUGUCCCCAUGAGGGAGGAUACUGGUGCAGCCACUGGAAACCCAUGCAGUUACAGAUUCUAUUAUCAGCUCAUAUUAUCACCUCAUCAGUUCCCCACAGAUUCUAUAACUCGCUACACAAUUUAGGGGAAAUUUACAGUGUCCAA